UGGGGAAUAUUGCACAAUGGGCGCAAGCCUGAUGCAGCCAUGCCGCGUGUGUGAAGAAGGCCUUCGGGUUGUAAAGCACUUUCAGCGAGGAGGAAGGUGGUGAGCUUAAUACGCUCAUCAAUUGACGUUACUCGCAGAAGAAGCACCGGCUAACUCCGUGCCAGCAGCCGCGGUAAUACGGAGGGUGCAAGCGUUAAUCGGAAUUACUGGGCGUAAAGCGCACGCAGGCGGUUUGUUAAGUCAGAUGUGAAAUCCCCGGGCUCAACCUGGGAACUGCAUUUGAAACUGGCAAGCUAGAGUCUCGUAGAGGGGGGUAGAAUUCCAGGUGUAGUGGUGAAAUGCGUAGAGAUCUGGAGGAAUACCGGUGGCGAAGGCGGCCCCCUGGACGAAGACUGACGCUCAGGUGCGAAAGCGUGGGGCAGCAAACAGGAUUAGAUACCCUGGUAGUCCAGCGCUGUAAACGAUGUCGAUUUGGAGGUUGUGCCCUUGAGGCGUGGCUUCCGGAGCUAACGCGUUAAAGUCGACCGCCUGGGGGAGUACGGCCGCAAGGUUAAAACUCAAAGGAAUUGAC
rnacentral:rRNA from 1 species